CAAAAAAAAAAAAAAAAAAAAUCAGAGGAUGAGGAAGACUCCUAGCCGGAGUCUUCUUCCUUCACGAUUCCGGCAAAAUCGGACUCAAAGAGUCCGGCUAGGGUAGGAAACCUCCACUAUAAGAUCCCCCGUCCUCUCUUAGGAAAUUACAAUAAAAAUUUCGAAGUAAAUCAAGGGAUUUGAGGGAUUUUUCUCAAAGAUUUUCGUGGUGGU
rnacentral:lncRNA from 1 species